UACGAAGGGUGCAAACGUUGCUCGGAAUUAUUGGGCGUAAAGCGCACGUAGGCGGCAUUGUAAGUCGGAUGUGAAAUCCCUCGGCUCAACCAAGGAAGUGCAUCCGAAACUGCAGUGCUUGAGUACUUAAGAGGAUCGCGGAAUUCCCGGUGUAGAGGUGAAAUUCGUAGAUAUCGGGAGGAACACCGGUGGCGAAGGCGGGUCUCUGGGCCGAUACUGACGCUGAGGAGCGAAAGCGUGGGGAGCGAACAGG
rnacentral:rRNA from 1 species